AUUGAACGCUGGCGGCAUGCCUUACACAUGCAAGUCGAACGGCAGCACGGGAGCAAUCCUGGUGGCGAGUGGCGAACGGGUGAGUGAUAUAUCGGAACGUGCCCAGUCGUGGGGGAUAACGUCGCGAAAGCUACGCUAAUACCGCAUACGAUCUACGGAUGAAAGCGGGGGAUCGCAAGACCUCGCGCGAUGGGAGCGGCCGAUAUCAGAUUAUCUAGUUGGUGGGGUAAAAGCCCACCAAGGCGACGAUCUGUAGCUGGUCUGAGAGGACGACCAGCAACACUGGAACUGAGACACGGUCCAGACUCCUACGGGAGGCAGCAGUGGGGAAUUUUGGACAAUGGGCGAAAGCCUGAUCCAGCAAUGCCGCGUGCAGGACGAAGGCCUUCGGGUUGUAAACUGCUUUUGUACGGAGCGAAACGGUCUUCUCUAAUACAGGAGGCUAAUGACGGUACCGUAAGAAUAAGCACCGGCUAACUACGUGCCAGCCGCCGCGGUAAUAC
rnacentral:rRNA from 1 species